rnacentral:misc_RNA from 1 species
UUUCCGUAGGUGAACCUGCGGAAGGAUCAUUAUUGUAUAACCGAGGUGCGAGGGCUGUCGCUGACCCGAAAGGUCGUGCACGCCCGAGUGCCCUCACACACAUCCAUCUCACCCCUGUGUGCACCACCGCGUGGGUCCCCCUUUGGCUUGUUCGGAGGGGGGCUUACGUUUUCACACAAACUUUGUAUGCAGUGUAGAAUGUAUUUUUUGUUUUUGCGAUCACGCAAUCAAUACAACUUUCAACAACGGAUCUCUUGGCUCUCGCAUCGAUGAACGCAGC